GUUUCAGAAUGUUCAGUUCAUGGUCAACUUGCUCCAGUGCAGAAAUAGCAGUGAAAGGGCCUGGUAGACAAAGCGGCUCACACCAUUGUGGCCAGGAAGUAGAGAGAAGGGAAGAGCUGGGUACAAGAGUGCACCCUUAAGGUCACACCUCCAGGGACCUGCUUUUUCUGGCCAGGCUCCACCUCUGAACAUGAGACUUUGGAGGACAGCUUAGAUCUAAACUAUAACAGCCUCUAACUGUUCUGUAAUUGCAAACCUCUCCCUUCUAGUUUUGUUGUCUCUGACAUACCGUCUGUUGUAACAUUUGGGCUUCACCUAUGAUCACUGACCUUUGGCCUACCCAUCAGCAGUCACCACAUGUCUAUGUAACUGCAUGAGUUCUACACACAGGUCCCAUCAAAGGCUGUCCACAGAGUGUACCGGAGCUGAAUUGCUCCAGUGUCUAUCAGAAGACAAUGUUCAGAACAGAUGGGCCUUGCUCAGGUACUGACAGAGAGCUGGUUAGAGCCUGUGUGUUUCUGCUAAUCAGUACAGUGUUGUUCACCUGCUCUGUUGAGUUCACCUUUGUAGGAUUUCUCCAUUGCUUCAUCAGGAAGCUCCAGGCAGUACUUAUCCUCUGCACCCUUGUGUAUCAGUGAUCAUUUUCACUGUGUCCAUACUCAAAAUAACACCCAAGAGCCCCUCUCAUUAGGUGGGCAAGUCCAAUAACCUGCUGUGUGUUUCAGACCAGACAUGGUAGCAGCUGUUUUAAAAAUAGCUAUAAACCAAAAGAGAAAUAUUUGCAUUUAAUUAUUAAACACCACAUUUACUUAAUUCUGGAAUGCUUGCCCUUUCAGGCAUUAUGUGAUAUUCAGACUUUGGAAUUAGAUGCAACAGCCCAUCUGCAUUCUUUUUCCACACUGAUUUUUGCUUGGAACAUGCUUUAAAUCCAUAUCCAAGCCUGAGUUUCAUGGAGAUGAUGCCCUUAAAAGGGUGUGAGGAGCAGGUGACCUCGACCUCGACACUGUAGGUGCUCUUGAGGUAGCAGACUUCAUAGUCCAGCAGAUAUUGAGUACUGCUGUUUCUCUUCAAAUUUUAGGUUAGCCUGCAUCCUGUAUUCCAAGUGCCUUGAGGGGCAGUCUUGGAACUGUGGUGUCAAGUGUGUGUUCUUACUCUGUCCCUAUUGACUGAUCUGUAGUGUUGCUGAACAUGUGCCCUGAGCCUGCCGUGCCAGGGCUCUGUCCACAAGGUGAGGUGCACAGCAUGGCUGUGGGUGCCAGUGGUGGACAUGACAUAGGCUGAGGUGUGCAUAAAGGUCCAUGCAGUAGAGUGUGGGGCAGAGAUGCCCUGGUGGGAGAAGCUGUCUGAGAAGAUCACAGGCAGGUGUGCUGGCCGUCAUCAGCAUCCACUUGCAGAACUUUCUUGUGACCCCUGGGAGGAACCCUGUACUAUGGAGGGGUGACUCCCAGUCCCUCCUACCCAGCACCUGGCACCCUGUUGUCCACUGUGAGUCUCUGUGCAGGGACCGGUCUCCACACUGCAUGAGUGGAGCCACGCGGGACUUGUCUGAGGCUGGCUUCACUCAGGGUCAUGGCUUUAGGUCCACCAUGCUGUGGCCACAGCAGAGCUUCCUCCUUCCGGGGCUCAGCACAUCUCCUGUGUAGCUGGUGUGUUUUCUAUCUCCAUUCAUCUGUCGGUGGACACUUUGGUUGCCUUCCCCUUGUGGCUGUCAUGCAUACUGUGGCAGUGAGCACUGGUGAGCACAGAUCUGUUGAGUCUGCUUUUGAUCCCUUUGCUGUCUACUGGACCGGACCUGUGUUAACUCUAACUUCUGAGGAGCAGCCAGGCCACUUCCCCAGGGGCCCUUUCAUUUUGCACCAUGACAGUGAACAAGGCUCUCCCUUUUCCACAUUUCAUCAGGACUUGUCUGGCUCUGGUUUUCAAUUGUGGGCAGCCCCUGGGUGAGUGUGGGUGCCAGUGUGGUGUGGACUUGGCUUUCCCUAGUGCUGAUGAUGUUGGCUCUUCUUGAUGGGGACAUUGGCCAGUGUGUAUCUUUGGAGCAGUGUCUCUUCCAGCCUUUGGCCCAUUUUUGAACUGCUUGCUCUUGCUGACUUGAAGUGGUUCCUUGUAUUUAUGGAUAUUAAUCUCUGGUCAGGUCUGUGGUUUGAAAAAAUUUCCUCCUAUUCUAUGGGUUGCCUUUUUGUGAGGAAUCUGAAUUUUGAUAUUGAGUAUAAGUGUGUGCAGUCUCGAUGCCCACGUUGCCUGUCUGUCUUGCUAUUUUCUGAUGGACUAGACAUGGUGUUGCUCAUGCCCAAGUCACUUCCGAUCAGGUAGCUGGCCUCGUCUGAUGUACCUGCAGUGGAGUGUGGAGCAGGUGGGAAAAGACUCCAUUGCCCACCUGGACCCUGGCUCCAACACCCUGGGGGCUUGAGUGUGGCAGUCAUUCAGCUCUGCCACCCUCAGUUUCCUCACCCGCGGAGGGCUUGGCAAAGCCUGGCUUGUGGGCCCAGUGUGCACACCCUCAGGACCACACUGGCAUGUGAGAGGCGCUCAGUGUGUGCUGUGCCUUCCUCUUGCACUGCAGCUGAGCUGGAGUGUGUAUCACCCUCGACUCUUUCUCCCUUCUAGCCUUGUACCCUCUGUUACAAUGAGCUGUUAGCUGCCAGCCGGGGAUUCGAAUGACCACCCUGUGCCUUGUACCACACAGACAUUUUCAGAAAAGACCUUGUGAGACUUUUAUAAAGUGACAGAAAUUAUUGCUUUUGAGGAAAAAAUAUUGCCUUAUAACAAAACCCAGCUGUGCUACUGACAUUGUGCCAGGAGGUCUAAGAAAGAAAGAGAAGCGCAUUUGCCAUAAAAUAAAAGUCUUCCAGUGGAAUUCAGAGCCUCAGUGGUUUGUGCGUCUCAAGAUGAGCUCUGAGGGUGUGGAGGACCCACCGGCCACUUCUUGGGCCCAGGCUCAGGCCCGUCUGCUGUCCUCUUCCCCUUGGUCUGUGGCUGGCGGCUGGGUCCACGGCCACAGUCCAGUCAGUGUCUCGUUCACCCUGAUCAGCCCUGCUGUCCGGUAGGCCCAGAGAGGAGGGGAUUAUUUUCUUCGCAGCUCUGAUUCUUUCCUGGGUCUUUGCAGAGAGGAGCACCUGAAGAAACACAGAGCUUUAAUUUCCUUUUUCUACAUCUGACCUCCCUUUUAGACAGUAAACUCUUUGGAAAGCAAGAGCUGUUGCUCAUUUUCCGUGUGACCCAGGCUCCAUGUGUGGCAGCCUGCUUGUUUGGCUCAUUGGUCUGAGUGUGUGCAGCACAUUAGACACUGUUCACUCUAACGCUAGACUGAGCUAGUGUGUGGCGGAGGGACUCGGGUUCAGUUCCACCUGUGUCAUACGCACCCUGGAUGCUUUGCCUGAAGUCCUGGAGACUCGGUUCCCUUGCUUGUUUGCCAGGCAACUACAGGUCAGCAGGGUUUCUGUCACACAUCAGGGAUCCUUGCUGGCAGUGUCUUCUGAGCCCCAGUCCCUCCGGAAGUUAUGAAGAUGGUCCUUUCAGUGGGUGUGUCAGUAGCAUCACACAGCCAGAGCUUCGUGUGUGUCCAUCUGUUUCUGCCUUGUGGGUCCCCGGAGCUGUGUGUUUUAAAAAGAGCAGUGGAGAAGUCCCUGGAUGGAGAUGUGAAAGUCCUGGAGUCUGGCCCAGUUCUGCACUGCCUGCCCUUGGGCAAGUGACAGCUCGCCAACCAGUUUGCUCAGAAUCGAGUCGGAUGACCCAGUAGGACAGCUGCGGUCUCGCCUGGUGCGCUCUAUCCCCAUGAACCCCCAGGGUACACCCAGCUGCCUCUUCCCUCAGCAAAGAAGCACCAGUGUCUAGCAAUUGCUUCCCAUCAGCACCUGCCCACUCCGGCCCUUGUUGCCAGGCAGCUCCUUCCUGAGGUUUGGUGUGGGCUGAUCCUUAGGGCCCUGGCUUGCGGCAGCAGACCUUGGGCCAGUGUCUUGCCCACGAAGUUCGCUGAGCAGAAUGCCAGGGCAGAUGGCUCUUAGCACAUCUGUCACUGGCCAGGGACAGAGCACAAAGCAGGCAGCAUCUGGUGAGUGCUCUGACCUGACAUGAGCCAGUGAUAUGUGCUCAGGUGUAGGAAGCACCCUGCCUCCUAUUUUACAUUCUCUAUUGUUUAGGGUUUGGUGACUGGGUGUCUUUCUUUUUAGUGAUGGACGGUUGCAGUAAAUGGCAGCAGCAGAAACAAAUGCUGCCUCCCAUGAGGAACAGGAAGCUUGAGUUCUGGGUCUCCUUGUGUCACUAUCAGUUGCCUCCUGGCAAAGAGCUGAGCUCAGGGACUGUACCUCAGAACAGCUGCUGCGUCCCAGGUGUUUAUCUAAAUGUUUAGGCUUGAGCAGGGCAGGUGCCUACUGUCUCAGACAUACUUCCAAAUCAAUCUUAAAAGGACAGGAAAAGCAAACAUUCGUGAAGACUGCAGUUUGCGUAGUGCUCCCACAUCUCCUGUCUCCUUGGCAGAGCCAGCACUGUGGAGGCCACGUUCUGCUCCUGGGAGGAGAAACUGCAGCCUCAGACCUGGGGGCCUGUCACCUUCGUCCUCUGUCUGGACACAUGCAUGGAAGGUUCCCUCUUGGCACAGUGGAUCUGUGAGCCUUGGCCAAGACUUCACUGUGUGUCAGGGUUAAGUCAAAUGACACCUGCGAUUAGCACGCCGGUGGUCUCAAAAUGCUAAUUUGUCUGUCCUUCACUGGUUGUCUAGCAACUUCAGUGUGAUUGAUGGAGAGAAAACUUUACAAAGAGAGUGAAAUUAUUAUGUUGAAGGACAGCAGACCAAUCAAAUUUGUGUAGGAUUUUUAAAGUAAUGUUCUGUAGAUAAAAUUCUAAAAAUUUCAAUCAAUACUGAGAACAAGCAUCCUGUAAGGGUGGAAUAUUUUGCUUUUGUUAGUUUCCCUAGCAAAUGGCAAUCUGUUAAUAGAAAAUACCUUCAGAUAACUCUCCUCUGUGGCCUCCUGAUUUCUGAGCGUCCCUAGGUCUGUGAACAGGGCUACACUUUGUGGACAGAGACCAGGGACCGAGGCCAAAGUCCCCUCAGUCCCCUAACCCCAGCCCCAGCCCCAGCGUGACUGAGCACCUGGAGGGGCAUCUUCACGUGCUUCCUCUCCAGGCGCCACUGCAGUGGGGAGAGAACCAUGGGAGAAAAGAUGCAGCUGGGGGGUUUGGCUGGCCAGGGUCUCUGAGCUGAGCCCCAGAAGGCUCCAUGCUGAGCCCAGCAGGACCAGCUCAGGCUUAGCUUCCCAAGUGGCCCAGCUUCGGUGGCAGGUUCCGUUCUAAUGACAAUGUGAAUUAAACUUCACUUGGCGUAUUUUAGUAACUUAGUUUGUGUGGUUCCCAUUUGCUGUCUUGUCUCAAAUGCCGCAUAAAUUAUAAUUUGUUACUUAAAGGAGAAAAGUCCAACUGAACCUGCUCCUCAUGCCGAGAGGCAGCAGGACAGCUCCGUGGAGCUGGGAGAGGGAGGGAGGCCAAGGCACCAGCCCCGCGGAGCGUGCGAGACACUUGGCAGUGCAGCCUCGUGUAGCUGCUGGAAGAUUCGCAGGAAAUGGUGCCAUGGUGGAGCCAGUGUGUGGUGAAAUCAGGCUGAAUUCUGAUUUUUCUCUGUGACCCCAAACCAUGUCUUUUUUACGGCACUUUUGGGCAUCUCUUGUUGCAGACUCCUCUGCAUUCCUCCUGCUCAGUAGCAUGGGUAGAGGUUGGUGAUCUUGACUCGAGGCUUUUGCCUCGCUGCAGGUGCUCAGCGUCCUGCAGGGAUCACAGACGUCGGCAGCCCUGGGCAGAGAGAGGGCUGCCAGCACUGGGGAGUGUGGGAUGGUUCACAGGCGGUCAGGAGUAGAGACGGUUGGCUCCCUGGGGUGGGGGAUUGUCCACAGGGGUUAGGAGCCCUGGCUAGGCACAGUAAGUGCCUCAUGACCACAGUGGAAGAGGCGAGCCCUGUGCUGCCCACCAGUCACUCCAGCCCUUCUCGGUCCAUCUCCCAGUGUCUCUCGAACUCAGCUUUUGCGGUUGUCCCGGAAGCACAGCCAGCGGACAAAACCUGGCCACCCACUUAUGAAUGGGUGUGUGCAGCCUUCCUGUCUCCCUGCCUCUGUCCCUGGGGUCUAACCUUGGGUCCUUCGAGGAGGUGGCAUGCUGUCCUUGAGGUCCAUCCAUGGAGUGACCCACCUGGUGUCUCGCUGUCUAUGUGGACCUCACUGCUGCACCCUAGAGCCUUUCCUGACUGACUUUCUCCCAGUGUAGGGUAAAGAAGCAGUAAGUAGGAUCUUGGUUUUUUAUUUUUCACUGAUUGAUAUCCAACUCAGCAGGAUGCUGUGUCUGUAUAUGUGUUUAGAGGAACUGAUGCUUUCCUGUGGCUUCAGUAUCCUCACUGGAAUGCUCAUCCACAGGCUGUGCCUGGCUCUUUUUGGGUGACAGCAUGGGCCAUGCUGUCCCGGGGACCUUGAGUCUCCACAUGAAAGCCUGUGAUUAGGGAGUGAGUUUCCUUCCCACACUGCUCCUAUCUGCUGGCACUCUUUAGUAUUCAGACCAAGAAACUGGUCCCAAACCAUCCUCAGAUGAGGAAGAGAAUUGUAUAAAUAAGUACACUUCAAGAGCACAUAGAUUUAGGCUUCAGGAUCACUGAAACCUGCAAGGAUGAUCAUCUGGAAACCGAGAGCUUUGUCUCUUGGCUAAGUGCAACUCUCCAUUCUUUUCUUCAAGGCCUCAGGGAAUACCCGGCCUUAAAUUCCUUUUUUUCAUUUUCCUUACAUUCUUCAUCACUGCCUGCUGUAGUCUGGGUAGCUGUUCAUUUAUGGCAGGACUGGAAAUGGGUUUCUGCUUUUCCUCAUAACCCUUGUCUGGCAGCAGCAGGCUGUGAGGAAGUCCUUCCGCACCCUGUUGGCCUUGAUCCCGCCCCAGCAGCAUCUGGCCUCCCUCCUCCUGCUGAGCUGACAGCGGCCACUGGGCCUGGGCUCCACGCUUCUGGCCCUGUCUCCCAGCUCACAGGCCUCCCCUUGCAGCCACGCUCUUCACCCUGGCACAUGGCUGCCACCCACCGCUUCCCACACAGUCCCUGUCCGCAGCGGCACAGGGUGCCAGGACUUUCCCUUAGCACUCACCUCUCCCUCAGCAGACCUGGCUGCUCUGAGGCCUGGGCACAUCUGAGGGGCUUCUCAUUCCUGAGGCCAGGCCCUCCAACACCCCACAACCACCCUUGCUCACCUGAGCAGGUCAUAGCCACAUUUCCUUCCUCCUCUGGGCUCCUCCUGUGGCUGAGCAGACUGUGAGGUGCGCCUGAGGGUCACUGAAUUCUCACAGUGGCCGCCAUGCAGUAGGUCCGGCCUCAGGCCUGCCUUACAGCACUGCAGUGUGGACGCUGUGUGACCCUCCUCCCCACAUCGUGGUGGGAGGCAGCUGCUAAUGUGUCAGCUGCUGCUCAUGUCCAGGACUAGUUUAAUCAUGAAGUAGAUCCACAUGCAGUUAACCAUAGGAAGCAGAAGACGUGUCUUGUGUUUUAGGAUUCCGAAGUCAGGUCUCGCCCAGGGACCCUAGUCCAUAGCAUAGCAGUGUUGGCAGAAAUCUCACUACAUCCAGCUGCUCCAGCUGUUUUUAAAACUAAAGUUUUAUCCAUUAGUUUCUCACACCUAUUACAACAACUGAAUUAUAAUUUGUGAGCAACAGCUUUUGGGUGCAGUUUGGUGCUUACCCAGGGAUGCGCUUAUCAUUUGCUCAGAGCUGUAGUGGCCCUUGUCCAGCUCCCCGCUGAAUGACCGUGUGCUGUUCAACCCCUCAUGGGUGUACAGUGUGCGGCUCAGCUGCCCUGCAGCCUGUCGCUGGGUGCUGCACAGGGCUUGCGUUUGAAGUCUGCUUCCUUACGGUGGAGUGUGUUCCUAGCUUCUCCUCUGGCAUGUUUGUCUCCUGGAGCCGGCAGCCGGCUGCCAAGCCCUGCAGACUGGGAACCAGCCUCCAGGUCUCAUGGAAGUCAGCCCCCUCCACCCCAAGGUGUGCUCUGUGCUGUGCCCCUGACCUGUGGUUCCUGGUAUCUCGGCCACCUGGUCCUCCUGCCUAGAUUGCCUCCCCAUGGCUACACUGCUCUGGUCCUCUCCCUUUGUGUAGCUGUUCCUCAUGGAAGGCCCCGAGGCUUGCCCCAGAGAAUGGACACACACACACACACACACACACACACACACACACACACGGCCUCUCAGGAACAUUUCUAUUUUAACACAGCCACAGACAGCAGAGUGAUUGUCUAAAUGUACAACUACUAAAUGUAGCAGGCUGAUUCGCUUUGGCUAAGGGAGGCCUUUUAAGGGUGACCCAGCCUGGGCAGCCUAUGCUGAGCAGCUACCCUGCCUGGGAAUCUGCUUUGGCAGUGUAAGGGUGGAGUCACCAGAACUGUGUGUGAGUCCUGCUAACACUGCUGUCUGGCAGCAGCUGGCCUGAGCUGGUGUCUCCUGGAAGCUCCGCUGUGUCUUCAGGAUGACUUGGUGAUUUUGUGUUGGAAGUUGUGCUGCCCAGAGUGUCCCAUGUGUUCUGGUAAGGAGUCCUAGGAAGUCACUGGGGUAAUUUUGAUCCAGCCCAUCUUGGGGACUUUGAUUGUUGCCUUGGAGAGAUUUCCAAGGCUCAGGGUUCUCCACAAGAUGGGCCUGGAGAACUCAUCUGCAUCUACACCUGUGUGGCAGCCCUGGAGUGUGAGACACUUUAUGAACCUGGAUCCAAACAGCUUGUAGGAAGGAGACCCCGUGUCCACUGUCCAGAGAUGCUGGGCUUGGAGGAGCUAGGAUAAGCACAGCUCAUACCAGUUUUGUUCAUGAGUGAAGCACAUCCCCAGUGUGACUGAAGUUAUAUCCACCAGCAGACUAAAAAGCCACUCUCUUUCCAUACAGACUGUGUAGUUCAUUUUGCAUCAGAAUGAAUUUUGCUUUAAUGACUUAGGUAAUAGAAUGUCUAAACCAAAUCAGAGGACAGCAACAUAGCUGGCUUCACACAAUUAUCGUGCAUGUUUAGUACCUGAAAUUUCUAUUUGGGAUCUUAUCCAUCAGGGUCGGAAAUAGAUUCUAAUGUUCUGUUCGAUGCAAUAAUAUCAAAGUCCAUGAACAUGUCAGUAAAUGGCUUAAUCAACGAAGAGGAACACAAAGUUAAAGUAAGGUUUUAUUGCCUUCGUUGUACUUUUGUUUGGGUAAUGUGGAAAACUCAGAUUUACUUUUUGAUGCGACUGUUUAAUAGGAGUAGCUGGGUUGUACUCACAGAAAGUCACCUUAUUUUUGCAGUUUUUUGAUAUUAAGAAGUUAAAAUCAGCGGACAUUAUUAGAUAGGAACAUCUCUUGAUGAAUAGCAAUUAAAUGUUAUAGCAGUUUUAUAAUCCAAUAUUUUAUUUAUGGGAGUAUGUUUCUAAUUAACAGUGAUUCACAUUCCCUACAAUUGCAAAGCAAACUUCAUCCUAAUUUCAUUAAUAGUUUUUGUCCUCUCGCUUGCCUGGGAAGAUUAACACUGCUGCUCUCUGUGCACAUGGUGCAGAGUGUGUCGAGUGUGUAACACCGGUGCUCCUUAAGUAACAUCGCUUUCACCUUGCAGCCUUGUAUGCAUUUCCACUGGAAGCCCAAGGUGGCUGAUAGGGUGGAGGUGACACCAGGGCUGGCUCAGCCUGGAUGCUUUUGAGCCACAGUCAUUGCCAUUAGAUGCAGAGGCGGUUUGGGUCACUUUGUAAGGAAGCUGAGGGGCACUUGCUAUCCAUCCAGCUUGAUGGUGCUGUCACAAGAAGUAUUUAGCCUUGAUUUCCAGAGUGAUAACAAGAAGAAAAGCAGUAGGCAGUGGGUCAAAGUUAGGAGAUGUGGAAGAUCCAAAGAUGGAGAAACUGGGAUUUUCUUUUCCCCUGCUGACCCCCAGGAGCCCAGCAAGCUCUCCACACCCAAGCUGCCCCUCCCUCAUCUCUGCUGUUGUGGGAGAGGGGUCAGCAAAGCCACUGUUGGCAUGACCUGGGUGGACCCGGCAGAGAGCAGCCAUAUAUGUCACUGCUGAAGAAAGUCCGCCGCACGGCCUUCUGUUGUCCUCAGACCUGAAGCCCUCUUCACCCUGCUCCUUCUGGCUCCAGGCCCACAGAGUACCCUGUGGAGCCAAGGGCGUCUCCCUCAGGAUGGAGUCCCCACAGCCAGGAGUGCUUCUGCCCUCUGUGAUGAGGGAGGCUGUCCUUGUUGUGCAGAGUGCAGAGUGCUCAGGGGAGUCCAGGCAUCCCCAAGGGAACAGGAGGGAAGGACUGACUGUGGACAGGACCCUGCCUGUGCUAGCUGUGCUCUGAGCAGCAGCCCUCGAGACUGUCGUCUGGACUCAGUGCUCUGUGCUAGUGUUCCCAGCCAUGGAGGCUCACACACUCAAGUUUGCUCUCUGCUGACCACGCAGAAGGCCAUGUAUUUGGAUAAAAAGGAGAAAGGACUAAUUCAGAGCUCGCUCUGAGGAGAUGGAGGGGCCCAUUUGCCUCAAAUCAGCAUGUCCUUGUGUAAGGUGGGCAAGGGUCUUUUACAUUAAGGAACAGAAGGGAGGGGAGCACAGAGAGACAAUGCAGAUCUUUACACUUGCUUUAUCACUUCAGCAUCUUCAGUUCAUCCUCCUCUUUUUUGUGGCAAAGAAACCAGGCUCCUGGUCUCCUGGGGCUGGUAUCUGCAUAUCCUGUCACUCCUUUGGGGCUGAGGAGAGAAGGGGUUGUGGGCUGUGUGCUCAGCAGGAGGAAGUUUGGAGAAGUUGCUUAUAUCUAAAAGGAAAAUUCCUAGCUUUUAAUGUUCCAUUUUGCAGUGCUGGUUGGGGGAGACCUUGUGCUGGGGGAGUGUCCUGAUAGGGGCGCUCACAUCUCUGAUUGAAUGACCCAGUGAAUUCCCCAUUGACAGAAAGGUAAAUUUUGCUAUCAACCUAUUAUGGCUUCUAUCUAGAUGUCCCCUAAAGCCUCAUGGGUUCCUAGGUGGGGUUUCUGGGAGGUGGCUAGAUCAUGGGUGUGUGGUACUGGGUCAUGGGUGUGUGGUACUGGGUGAGUCCACUCAUAGCUUUAUAGCUGGGUAUGAUGUUGGAAGGUGGAGUCUGGUGGGAAGAGGUGGUCACUGUGGUGUGGCUGGGAAAGAUCCCUGUUCCUUUGAUGGCUGCCCUGCCUGCCUACCCUGCCAUGGACUGUCUCCUCUGUGAUGACCCUCUCCCAUGCUGCCCUGACUUCAAACCAACAGACUAUGGACUGAAACCUCUAUAAGUUGUGAGCUAAAAUAAACCUUUCCUCCUCAACUUCUGGGUGUCAGGUAUUGUUUCCUACAACAAGAAAAUAACUGAGACACAACCCAUAAAAUGUGGGUCUUUGCAGAAGGUUUAAUUAAAUUAAGUGUCUACUGAAGAACCUGCUUUCAGACAUCCCAAGAAUCAGAAUCUCCAGGAGCCAUGGGCCACGGAGUCCCCAGCCAUUGACUUCCUCAUUCAUUUUUUCCUCCUGCCUGGAUAGAUCAUCAGCAUAGUUUGCAAUGAAAUGCAGAAAACCCUAAUUAUGGGUUGGUAUGCAGUGUAAUAGCCUGCUUCCCCUGUUGGGACAACAUACCUGAUGUACACAACCUAGAGGAGAAGUGGUUUAUUUGGCUCAUGUGUAGAGGUUUCCAUCCAUGGCUGGCUGGCUUCGAGGCAGGACAGCAUCAGGAGAGCCUGCAGAAGAAAGCCACACAGCUCCUGGGACCUGGGAAGUGGAGCAGGGACAGGCCAAGAGGAGAGGCUGGGAUGCUUCUUGGCACCUGGUGCCACUGUGGUGCAAUCCAGCCCUCGUUCUGUGGAGUGAUUUCCUCAGAGCAGAGCAGAUGUGGGGUCUCUCUUACCCUGCAUCUGGCUUUGGGCUUUGUGCCUGUUCUGUUUGCUUGUCUAUGCGGGCCUGUCCCCUGGUGGCCCUGCUCUCCUCUACCCCAUUCACACUCCUCUAGCCUGGCUUUGCCCUGCAGUGGGUCAGUUCUCUCCAAGUGUGUGUCCACGAUGCCCAUGCAUCUGUGUGCUUUCUGAGAAUGGAGGGAGUGGGGACCGAGGGGCACACAGAGCCUGUCCAGCCCCCUCAGCAUGUCCUGGUGUGUGAGGUGUGGACAGAUCAGCAGGUGCCAGAUAGGAGAAUGUGGGAAGCAGGAGAGAGAGAGAAACCUUCCCCAUGGGCACCUACUUCCCUGUUCCCCGUGGUCCCGAUCGACUGACGGGUGCUGACACUGGAGACUCCUCUGGCCCUGCGUGGGCAGUGAGGACUCCGAUCCAGAGCUGCUCCCUGACAGGACCUGCUGUAUCAUUUUGGAACCAGGAGAUGUUAACAAGCGGUGCAGGAAUCUGUGGCCUCAUCCCGGUCCAGCCUGAGAGGUCGUGGCACAACUUCCCCAUCCUUUGGUGUUGGUGUUUAUCCAGGAGUGUGUGUUCGCUUUCUUAUCUGUGCUGCUGGUGUUUGUGUGAGUAGGGGUGGGUCCUGUUUUCCUCAUCAUCCGGCAACUAGAAGAGCAAUGACUGCACCCACUUCUCUUGGCAGCCUUCCAGGCAGGAAAGUGGUGCCGAUCACUCUGGAACAGAAAUGUAAUUUCAUGUUAUUCCCAUGUAUUUGUUUAUUUCUAAUAUUUAUCUUUUUAGGUCAAUCUUUUGACAAAAUUGUGAGUAAUAUUUAUGAUUUCUGAAACUUUUCAUCUGGGAAAAUGGUUUUAUGACAAGCUGCCUUAUUGAUCAGAGCAAAUGCUUUUAGUGAUAAAGCACUAACACCUAAAAUAUCAAGUAGGUGUAAGGAGACAUCUAAAGCAAGUUAUGAAAACACAGUGGGGAAAAAGAAUUGCUCUUUAGUGCAAAACAAGCUUGUAUUUUGGAAUUAAUUGAAGUAUCAGUUUUAGCCACAGUGUUCCAAAUAGCACUGAAGCUCAGAAGUUACAGAGAUUCAUGAGUCUGGCAGCUGCCAUUUAUCUUUUUCCGUAUUGCUGUAGAGUAUUUACAAACCUGAGUUUCUCCAAGGUCCCGGUUGCUAUUCUAAGAUGAAAAUGCAAGGAAGAAAUCUCAUAAUUCACAGCUUUAUAUAUACUGACUCGAAGGGCUGGGAAGUCACACUGUGGAUGGAUGCAGGCUCACGAAGGGCUUAGCGAGCUCUGUGAACCCUUGUUUGAGCUUGAAGCAUGGAAAUGCUGUGUGAGCUCUGCACACUGCCCACUCCCUGGGAGGCCUGGAGUCCUGUGCAUGCUCCGUGCCCAGGCUGCACUUAGAUCUUGUUUCCUGCUCGCUGUCCUGGUGAGGCCUCUGGGAAGAGGUGAGGCUGGCAGCUGCUGCCUGGCAGUUAGGCCUGGGCUUUUCCUUUGUCACCACAGUUGCAGACAGUGCUACAUGGACAAAAUUUCCAGCUGGUUUUUAAAGAACAUUUGCAUAGUGGUCUUGCGACCCCAUCUGUAAUUAAAGGGAAAGAGAGUGUGUUGAAAUAGCCACAGGUAACUUGCUUAACUAAACCCAUGCUGAGAAAAUUAAUCUGCAAGAAUACCAAUUUGCUGUUAAAAAAGACCCAAGCUUUAAACAAAAGCUAGGUUUUAAUAGGAACAUAUUCAGUGAAACACUUUUCAGCAGUCAUUUAUGGAAAAGCUACUUGUGCAUGGCUCUGGGCAGCACCCAGAGCGCCAAGGACCUGACAGCUUGUCUGGCCCCUUCCCGGGAGUGGUACGUAUUCAGGGCCGGGGCCCGUGGUGUCCCUUGGGGGAGGCAGCUGAGGCCGGUGUGGCGUGGGACAAGGAGCCUGGGUGCACUGGUGGGGGUGGCAUCGCCGGCAGGAAGGGCAGCCAUCGUGGAGCUGAGGUCCCAGGACUGAGGGGCACAGAGGCUGCUGGGCAGGGAGGGUGGAGGAGGAGAGGCAGGCACCUGGAGCUUGGCAGUGGUCCUGAUGGGGCUCCCCCUUUCCCAUGUGCCAGGGCAGGGUGCGUGGAGACCCACACUCCCACACCUGCAGAGUGAGGACAGGCGUGACUGAAGUAAGGUGUGUUCCACAGCCUGUGACAGUGGCCCCUGGCCAUGGCCUGGUCAUGUGGAUACCUCCGGUGCUCCACAGUGAUGUACGGUGUGGCCCUGUGGGUCCCUGAGCAUGAGAGGUGUCUCCUCCCUGCCAUCCAUGUCAGAGUGGGACCCAUCCCAGCUCCUGAGUUGGCUGCCACUUCCCCAGCGCUGCUCCUAGGCCUGGCGGGAGUCCCCAGCCAGCUGCUCCCCAGAACUCAGCUCCGGCCCCCUCUGUUGGCCCUAGUGUGUGGAGGCUGAGGGCGUGUCUUCUUCAUGUCUUCUUGCCAACGUGUGACUCCUCCCUCACAGAUGUGGCUGCACCCUCAGUGGGCAUCUGUGGCCCCCAGUUCAGUGGGGCCUGGGAGUUGACGGCCCUGUCUCAGGACCAUCCAUGGCCAGCGCACCCUCUGCCCACGUCCUCAUCCAUGAGUCGGCAGGGGCAUGGCUUUCACGUGGUCUGUCCGAGUGCCAUCUGCGACUGCGACCACCCCUCUGCCUGCACUUCCCUGUGGAGUGACUUCUGUGGCUGGUGUGUCCACUGUCAGGGUCUCCUCUGCCCAGCAGUAGCUCGCUGCUCUGUGGGGUCAGCAGGGCACGGCUGGUGUGUGGUUACAGAAACUGGCCACCAGCCCCUGACUCCCCCUGGGCUCCCCAUGGUGCCUUGGUGUUCGCCCUGUGACCUCCCCAUGACAAGGGUCCCCAGCGUGGUGGCUGGGUGGGCGGGGAAGAUGAAGUCAGAGGCUGCAUCACAUUCCAUCACACGGUACCACAAACAAUGCACGUUUUCUUACUGGUGCUUUUGUCUCCAUGUCUUACUGAAAUUAUUUUUGCACUUUAGCGUGCUCUGUCCCCGAAUUACAAAUCUUUGAGUACCAACGAUCUCCUUAUUUCAUAUCAUUUAAAAAAAUUCCCACAAUGAAGCCUGGCACAAAGCAAGCAACUGGUGUGUGUCAAGACAGAGUUAAUACCUCGGCUAUUUCCAGCCCAUGGCUUUUAUGAUAUUACAUAGAAACCUAGAGUGCUGACCCUUUCACUUUGAGGCACCUGCGCUGGAACCAUGGGGCCAGCUCGGCUUCCAGAGAGCUGCUGUCCCAGGCAAGCACAGAGGGGCCUUCAGAGCAGCUUCGACAGCACAUGGCUGUUUUGACUUCGUUUUCUCUCUUCACGCAUCUGACAAGCCAGAGCGACACUUCCCUGCAGCCCCGUCUGCAUGUGGGGAUCGUUUGUUCUGGUGGCCUGAAGUGGGAGCUGGAGCUCACCAAGCGCAUGCAGCGUGGGUUUCGACGGGAGCAUCGUGUUCAGUGUGAUCCACUGUGCUCAGGAGCGGGAGGCUGGGGCAGGACUCCGGGCCUGUGCUGGGGGUCUCCCUGGGCCGACUUGUCCCACUUUCUCAGGGUCAAGCCUGCCUGCCCGGCAAGUGCACAACUGCUCUGUCAUUGUCUCACACAUCGAAGCCCCUUGGUGCUGCAGUGUACUCAGUUGUCAUAAUGUCAGUCAGCAUCAUAGGGUUUUAUCAUCAAGCAUAGCAAAAUGCAAAUAUGGUAUUGUAACAGCUUUAUCACAACAUGGUCAGAGUUGUUCUAGCUUAUGUUACUGUUCAUCUCCUCUUGUGCCUAAUUUGUAAAUUAAACUUUGACCACAGGUAGGCACAGGAUGAAGGGGUUCUACUUUGAAUAUUUGAGCUGAACCACGGUGAUGAGGAAGCUAGGAAGCCUUCAGGAAUCCCUGACUGUGCACCGGCUGCAGUAGCACAUUGGGCCAGAGGUCUUGUAGCUGUUGAGAAAAAGCCGCGUGAGCAGAGAAAGAGGGACGAGGAGACGUGGGCCUGCAGUGCAGACAAGGGCCAGACCUGGUCAAAAAGGAGUCCCGCGGGUGCUGCAGGGGAGGGUGGGCUUUGCAUGGGGGACAGGGUGUAACGUGGCUCCAGGGGACGCUGCUCGAGAGCGUGCCGUGGGGCUGACCAGGCGACCGAAACCUUCGCCCAGAAGGUGGGUGGAUGGCAUUACUCUGCAGGGCCCAGCGCCGGGCCGGGGUGACUCCGGCCGUACCCCGGGAGCGGCACAGGUGCCGACCAGCUUCCCAGGCCCCAGGCCAUGGACGUGGGCCGGGCAGACUCUUCCUGACACCCCUCACCAGCUCCAGUCCUCGGGCCCUGGGGCCACGAUGGUGUCCUCUGCCUGGGGACAGAGGUUUCCCGGCCGCCACCCUGUUUUUCUGUGCAGUCCACCCAGCAGGAGUGGGGACAGAGGACGUGCAAGGCCAGAGCCUGUGGUGUCUGUGGCCGGGCCCUUCAUAGAAGGAGCUCACGGGUCCUGGCUGAGGAUCAGAUGUGUCUGUUGCUGCCACACAGCUGGGGCUACAGACAGGAGGCACAAGAAACCACCCUGAGCCAGGGCUGUGCAGUGAGUCAGGGCGUCCUCCACACACGGACCCACUGGACACUCACCCCAUGAGCCGUGUGUACCGUGGUCAGGCAGCCAGCACCCACUGAGGUUGGCCGUGGUACCCCAGCGCUGGCCACUGGGCUAUAUGGGCUGAAGCAUGCUGCUCUGGCAGGAAUCAGUUAGUCCUCCUACUCCAGGAGAGCCCUCCUAAGCCAAGGGACGCACACUGUCUGAACAGAGUCCUUGGGUCUCACAUGUAACUGGUCACUUCAUUCUCGGUCACGCUCUCGGUCAAAUGGAAGUGCUCUCUUACUGCGGAGCACACACAUUCACUGUCACUAACUGAGCAGUCACCACUGUUAGGGCUUCUGCUUUGCAUCUCUGAAACCUUGUCUGGUGCCCUGUUUGUGUGGUUUCCUUUCUCCCCCUUGCCUGGGACCUGCACGUUCACUGGCUGGGGCCCAGCUGGAGGACCAGCCAGACGCUGAGCUGAGAGGUCACACUGCCCGGGCCACCUGUCUGCCACCCACCUGUCACUCCAGGACAUACGGACAAGGUGGCUGGGAUGCAGCUCUCCGCCCACCCUUGGUGUCUCCACUGUGUGUUUGUCCGGAGAUCAUCGCACCCAGCGGAGAACCCAGGCCACAGUCUCUCGACCACGCAGAGCCUUUGCUGUGGCUGUGCCUCACAGCCAGCGCAUCCUGGGAGACAGGAAGAGAGGCCCUGUCUGAGGGGAGCCUCACCUCCUCCUCAUGGACUGGGAUGGGGAGGCUCUCCCGGCCUGUCCAGUGGGGAAGGCGUGUCCAGGUUCACAGGGUCUUUGAGAGCCAAGAACCCACAUCCUGCUGCAGUUAGGCAAAGCAGUGAGCAUGAUUCAGAGAUGGAGAAACUGAGUGGAGGAGAUCUAAAUGAUGUCCCAGAGGGCGCCCUGCAAGGUCAGAUCUAGGAUUGAAAACCACAGCCCUGGCUUGGCCUGGAGUGUUGUCCUCCAGAUUUCCCCAUGUGUCCAGAGCAGAUGUAAAGAUCAUAAGAUGCUGGCCAGAAAACCCGUGUACUCUGGGAAAUGUCCAGAGGAGACCGACUUCCUUCCUUCCCUGAGAUUCAGCACCUGUUGCUGGGCUGUGCCCUCAAGGACAUCACCAUGGCUGGUAUCAUUUUACAUGAAGAUUUUCUUGUGACUGCAAUAAUCUCCAUAUCUGAAAACUGACUAAAUUCACAAUAAUAAGUUUACUAUUGUUUAGACAUUUAUUUUGUCAUUUUGAAUGGAAAGUACUGAAAAGUGAAAUUAAACAUAUAUGAAACA